rnacentral:rRNA from 1 species
CGAAGGAUGCAAGCGUUAUCCGGAUUCAUUGGGUUUAAAGGGUGCGUAGGCGGACUGAUAAGUCAGUGGUGAAAUCUCUUUGCUUAACAAAGAAACUGCCAUUGAUACUGUCGGUCUAGAGUAUAGAUGACGUUGGCGGUAUAUGACAUGUAGUGGUGAAAUACUUAGAUAUGUCAUAGAACACCGAUUGCGAAGGCAGCUAACGAAACUAUAACUGACGCUGAGGCACGAAAGUGCGGGGAUCAAACAGGAUUAGAUACCCUGGUAGUCCGCACCGUAAACGAUGAUUACUCGUUGUUGGCGAUAUGACAGUCAGCGACCAAGCGAAAGCGAUAAGUAAUCCACCUGGGGAGUACGCCGGCAACGGUG